CCUACGGGAGGCAGCAGUGGGGGAUAUUGCACAAUGGGGGAAACCCUGAUGCAGCGACGCCGCGUGGGCGAAGAAGUAUUUCCGUAUGUAAAUCCCUAUCAGCAGGGAAGAAGAAAUGACGGUACCUGAGUAAGAAGCACCGGCUAAAUACGUGCCAGCAGCCGCCGUAAUACGUAUGGUGCAAGCGUUAUCCGGAUUUACUGGGUGGAAAGGGAGCGCAGGCGGCACGGCAAGCCUGAUGUGAAAGCCCGCGGCGCAACCGCGGGACUGCAUUGGGAACUACCGGGCUGGAGUGCCGGAGAGGUAGGCGGAAUUCCUAGUGUAGCGGUGAAAUGCGUAGAUAUUAGGAGGAACACCAGUGGCGAAGGCGGCCUACUGGACGGUGACUGACGCUGAGGCUCGAAAGCGUGGGGAGCAAACAGGAUUAGAUACCCUUGUAGUC
rnacentral:rRNA from 1 species